rnacentral:lncRNA from 1 species
AUCGGCUCUCUUUAAAAUGGACCAAUCAGCAGGACGUGGGUGGGGCCAGAUAAGAGAAUAAAAGCAGGCUGCCCAAGCCAGCAGUGGGAACCUGCUGAGGUUCCCUUUCAUGCUGUGGUAGCUUUGUUCUUUCACUCUUUGCAAUAAAUCUUGUUGUUGCUCACUCUUUGGGUCCACACUGCCUUUAUGAGCUGUAACACUCACUAUGAAGGUCUGCAGCUUCACCCCUGAAGCUAGCAAAACCGCGAACCCGCCGGGAGGAACGAACAACUCCCGACAUGUGGCCUUAAGAGCUGUAACACUCACUGCGAAGGUUUGCAGCUUCAUUCCUGAGCCAGCGAGACCGUGAACCCACCAGAAGAAAGAAACUCCGAACACAUCCAAACAUCAGAAGGAACAAACUCCAGACACGCUGGCUUUAAGAACUGUAACAUUCACUGAGAGGGUCUGCGGCUUCAUUCUUGAAAUCAUGUUCACUUCCACCUUCCACCCUUUCACUAUGAAGGACCCUCACCAGAUGGUGGCACCAUGCUCUCGGACUUCCCAGCCUCCAGAACUGGACGGGUAAAUUGAAGCAAAAAGCAGACAAGUUCUAUGGGAUUUGCUGGCAUUGAUUUCCCAGGAUGGCAAAGUGCUAAGAACUAAACCUUUAAAGCUAACAAAAUGUACUGAUGUCUUUGCAAAGUAUCCAAGACCAACAAGAAAGUAAUUUCCCACCUCACCCUACCACCACCCAGAAAAGGAGCACAGAGAUGGGGAAGAGAGUGGCUGCAUCUGGCAUCCAGCCAGAGGAGUCCGUGCAGGGAUUCUGGAUCCCUCUUCCCCCACCCCACUGCCCUUCCCCCUCCACCCCAGCGUUUUGGAGAAGCAAGAAACUGUGAUGAUGCAGCUCCCUCAAGUAUCACAUGAAGAUAGUGGAAAGAGCCUCCUGAGGUAAAUAUGCCAUGUAGACAGAAACAAGCAAUGGCUCAACAGCAAUGUAUGAGGUCCAAGGACCAGGACCAAAGGGAAAAACAGCCAUCUCACCAGACACCUGCCUACGACCAGAUGCGUCAUCUCCAAUAUUAGCUAACUCCCUGGAACCUGGACUCAAGGUGUGAAAUAAAGGUUAAUGGGAAACCGCAGGAGUCAAAAGGAGGGGGCAGGAUUAUUGAGGAUUCAGGCUGUUGAGAAAUGAAAGUUUGGAUCACUCCCCAGAUAAAGAACCUUGACCAUUUAAGGGCAAUGGAAAUACAGAAUAGGCAGUAGAAGAAGGAAGCCAUAGAUACCAACUAUGGCCUCUCAAUCAAUUACAAAACUGAGAAUUCUGACAGUUUUGUGUAUUUCCUCUUUGCAUGUGAUGUAUAUGUGUGUAUUUGUAUAUAUUAACCAUUUUCCUUUUUCUCUCUUCAUUAUUUUAUGAAAGUUGUUGAAUAUAAACUCUACAAUUUAGCCUUUAGGUAAGAGAAUAUUCAGUGGGACUUUGAUUUGAGGAGUAUUUAAGACAGCCAGAUGAGACUACGAUAACUGUUGGAACUGUGUGUCUCCUCAUUUGGGGAAAGGGGUGAGAACUCUGCAUUUCUCUGAAGAACAGAGUUGACUUUGUGUUAUACAGAGUUCAAAUAUAUAUAUAAAAUGGUGCAUGUGGAAGCUAAGAAGCCAAAGGAGUUCACCAAGACAGUUAUCAAUAUAUUGCCUCUCCGCUCCAAAUCCACCCUUCUUUGCCCUGUUCCACGAUACUAAUCUGGCUCCUCGGUCAGCCAGUGCAAUGUCAUCUGUUGCUGGUAGAGUGUAGGGGAGACACUACAAGGUAUAGUAAAGGGGUCAGAUGCGGUGUCUCAUGCCUGUAAUCACAGCCCUUUGGGAGGCAGAGGCAGGAGGAUCACCUGAGGCCAGGAGUUUGAGACCAGCCUGGACAACAUGGUAAAACCCCAUCUCUACUGAAAAUACAAAAUUAGCACGCACCUGUAAUCCCAGCUACUCGGGAGGCUGAGGCAGGAGAAUCACUUGAACCUGGGAGGUGGAGGUUGCAGUGAGCCAAGAUCGCAUCAUUGCACUCCAGCCAGGGAAAAAAGGCAAAACUCUGUCUCAAAAAAAUAAAUAAAUAAAAUAAAAUAAAACAAGGUAUAGCAAA